UACGUAGGUGGCAAGCGUUGUCCGGAAUUACUGGGCGUAAAGGGCGUGUAGGCGGCCUUUUAAGUCAGACGUGAAAACCCUGGGCUUAACCCAGGAUCUGCGUUUGAUACUGAAGGGCUUGAGGACCGGAGAGGACAGUGGAAUUCCCAGUGUAGCGGUGAAAUGCGUAGAUAUUGGGAGGAACACCAGUGGCGAAGGCGGCUCACUGGCUCGUAACUGACGCUCAUGCACGACAGCGUGGGGAUCAAACAGG
rnacentral:rRNA from 1 species